UACGAGGGGGGCAAGCGUUGUUCGGAAUUAUUGGGCGUAAAGAGCGCGCAGGCGGUCGUUCAAGUCGCGUGUGAAAGCCCCCGGCUCAACUGGGGAGGGUCACGCGAUACUGAUCGACUCGAAGGCAGGAGAGGGUAGUGGAAUUCCCGGUGUAGUGGUGAAAUGCGUAGAUAUCGGGAGGAACACCAGUGGCGAAGGCGACUACCUGGCCUGUUCUUGACGCUGAGGCGCGAAAGCUAGGGGAGCAAACGGG
rnacentral:rRNA from 1 species